UACGUAGGUGGCAAGCGUUGUCCGGAAUUAUUGGGCGUAAAGCGCGCGCAGGCGGUCCUUUAAGUCUGAUGUGAAAGCCCACGGCUCAACCGUGGAGGGUCAUUGGAAACUGGGGGACUUGAGUACAGAAGAGGAAAGCGGAAUUCCACGUGUAGCGGUGAAAUGCGUAGAGAUGUGGAGGAACACCAGUGGCGAAGGCGGCUUUCUGGUCUGUAACUGACGCUGAGGCGCGAAAGCGUGGGAAGCAAACAGG
rnacentral:rRNA from 1 species